GUUGAGGCGAAUACAAAUUAGCGAAGAUAAGAGGGGGGCGCUUUAAAAGCAGAUGAGGAGCAUGCUGGCUUCUAAGAAAAACUCUUCAGCGAAUACGUCGUGGUGAAAUGGUGGUUUCAGGUGAUAAAAGUGAAAGAAGCUGUAUUGCCCUUGGAAGUUUGAAUCCCAGAAGUAUGAAGAAGGCACAGUAUGUCAUUCGUAAUAUUGAAAUAUUUGGCCUGCCCUACUCAAAGGCAUAAACAAGCUUCAGCCUAUCAACACAGAAAUGGGAUGCUAACCUGCCAAAUAAAAGGAAAUGAAUAAAUGGAAGAACAAUAAAAGUCAGUAAAG